GAUGAACGCUGGCGGCGUGCCUAAUACAUGCAAGUCGAGCGAACGGACGAGAAGCUUGCUUCUCUGAUGUUAGCGGCGGACGGGUGAGUAACACGUGGAUAACCUACCUAUAAGACUGGGAUAACUUCGGGAAACCGGAGCUAAUACCGGAUAAUAUUUUGAACCGCAUGGUUCAAAAGUGAAAGACGGUCUUGCUGUCACAUAUAGAUGGAUCCGCGCUGCAUUAGCUAGUUGGUAGGGUAACGGCUUACCAAGGCAACGAUGCAUAGCCGACCUGAGAGGGUGAUCGGCCACACUGGAAUUGAGACACGGUCCAGACUCCUACGGGAGGCAGCAGUAGGGAAUCUUCCGCAAUGGGCGAAAGCCUGACGGAGCAACGCCGCGUGAGUGAUGAAGGUCUUCGGAUCGUAAAACUCUGUUAUUAGGGAAGAACAUAUGUGUAAGUAACUGUGCACAUCUUGACGGUACCUAAUCAGAAAGCCACGGCUAACUACGUG
rnacentral:rRNA from 1 species